AGUGAACGCUGGCGGUAGGCCUAACACAUGCAAGUCGAACGGCAGCACAGAGGAGCUUGCUCCUUGGGUGGCGAGUGGCGGACGGGUGAGGAAUACAUCGGAAUCUACUCUGUCGUGGGGGAUAACGUAGGGAAACUUACGCUAAUACCGCAUACGACCUACGGGUGAAAGCAGGGGAUCUUCGGACCUUGCGCGAUUGAAUGAGCCGAUGUCGGAUUAGCUAGUUGGCGGGGUAAAGGCCCACCAAGGCGACGAUCCGUAGCUGGUCUGAGGGGAGGAUCAGCCACACUGGAACUGAGGCACGGUCCAGACUCCUACGGGAGGCAGCAGUGGGGAAUAUUGGACAAUGGGCGCAAGCCUGACCCAGCCAUACCGCGUGGGUGAAGAAGGCCUUCGGGUUGUAAAGCCCUUUUGUUGGGAAAGAAAUCCAUCUGGUUAAUACCCGGGUGGGAUGACGGUACCCAAAGAAUAAGCACCGGCUAACUUCGUGCCAGCCGCCGCCGUAA
rnacentral:rRNA from 1 species